AACAUCUCGUGUGGGUCAGAGAACUGUAGGUAGUGGAUUCCAAAAUAAACUUUUACACAAAUUCAGCAAAAAAAAAAAAUAUAUAUAUAGCUCGUGCAUUAAGUCUAUUUUUUUAUUUUGCAAUUCAAAUUAAAAACAAAACAACAUAUUAGUUUAAGGGGACUUAGGAUAAUCACAGAUUUAUUUUGGAUUUUCUCUUCAUAAUUCUUAGUUGUUGUUUGCUCCAUUCAGUAGAACAAGAAAUUGUUUGUUUGU